rnacentral:rRNA from 1 species
GCGGCGAGCGAAAUGGGAAGAGCCCAAACCAACAAGCUUGCUUGUUGGGGUUGUAGGACACUCUAUACGGAGUUACAAAGGACGACAUUAGACGAAUCAUCUGGAAAGAUGAAUCAAAGAAGGUAAUAAUCCUGUAGUCGAAAAUGUUGUCUCUCUUGAGUGGAUCCUGAGUACGACGGAGCACGUGAAAUUCCGUCGGAAUCUGGGAGGACCAUCUCCUAAGGCUAAAUACUCUCUAGUGACCGAUAGUGAACCAGUACCGUGAGGGAAAGGUGAAAAGCACCCCGGAAGGGGAGUGAAAUAGAACCUGAAACCGUGUGCUUACAAGUAGUCAGAGCCCGUUAAUGGGUGAUGGCGUGCCUUUUGUAGAAUGAACCGGCGAGUUACGAUUUGAUGCAAGGUUAAGCAGUAAAUGUGGAGCCGUAGCGAAAGCGAGUCUGAAUAGGGCGUUUAGUAUUUGGUCGUAGACCCGAAACCAGGUGAUCUACCCUUGGUCAGGUUGAAGUUCAGGUAACACUGAAUGGAGGACCGAACCGACUUACGUUGAAAAGUGAGCGGAUGAACUGAGGGUAGCGGAGAAAUUCCAAUCGAACCUGGAGAUAGCUGGUUCUCUCCGAAAUAGCUUUAGGGCUAGCCUCAAGUGAUGAUUAUUGGAGGUAGAGCACUGUUUGGACGAGGGGCCCCUCUCGGGUUACCGAAUUCAGACAAACUCCGAAUGCCAAUUAAUUUAACUUGGGAGUCAGAACAUGGGUGAUAAGGUCCGUGUUCGAAAGGGAAACAGCCCAGACCACCAGCUAAGGUCCCAAAAUAUAUGUUAAGUGGAAAAGGAUGUGGCGUUGCCCAGACAACUAGGAUGUUGGCUUAGAAGCAGCCAUCAUUUAAAGAGUGCGUAAUAGCUCACUAGUCGAGUGACACUGCGCCGAAAAUGUACCGGGGCUAAACAUAUUACCGAAGCUGUGGAUUGUCCUUUGGACAAUGGUAGGAGAGCGUUCUAAGGGCGUUGAAGCAUGAUCGUAAGGACAUGUGGAGCGCUUAGAAGUGAGAAUGCCGGUGUGAGUAGCGAAAGACGGGUGAGAAUCCCGUCCACCGAUUGACUAAGGUUUCCAGAGGAAGGCUCGUCCGCUCUGGGUUAGUCGGGUCCUAAGCUGAGGCCGACAGGCGUAGGCGAUGGAUAACAGGUUGAUAUUCCUGUACCACCUAUAAUCGUUUUAAUCGAUGGGGGGACGCAGUAGGAUAGGCGAAGCGUGCGAUUGGAUUGCACGUCUAAGCAGUAAGGCUGAGUAUUAGGCAAAUCCGGUACUCGUUAAGGCUGAGCUGUGAUGGGGAGAAGACAUUGUGUCUUCGAGUCGUUGAUUUCACACUGCCGAGAAAAGCCUCUAGAUAGAAAAUAGGUGCCCGUACCGCAAACCGACACAGGUAGUCAAGAUGAGAAUUCUAAGGUGAGCGAGCGAACUCUCGUUAAGGAACUCGGCAAAAUGACCCCGUAACUUCGGGAGAAGGGGUGCUCUUUAGGGUUAACGCCCAGAAGAGCCGCAGUGAAUAGGCCCAAGCGACUGUUUAUCAAAAACACAGGUCUCUGCUAAACCGUAAGGUGAUGUAUAGGGGCUGACGCCUGCCCGGUGCUGGAAGGUUAAGAGGAGUGGUUAGCUUCUGCGAAGCUACGAAUCGAAGCCCCAGUAAACGGCGGCCGUAACUAUAACGGUCCUAAGGUAGCGAAAUUCCUUGUCGGGUAAGUUCCGACCCGCACGAAAGGCGUAACGAUUUGGGCACUGUCUCAACGAGAGACUCGGUGAAAUCAUAGUACCUGUGAAGAUGCAGGUUACCCGCGACAGGACGGAAAGACCCCGUGGAGCUUUACUGUAGCCUGAUAUUGAAAUUCGGCACAGCUUGUACAGGAUAGGUAGGAGCCUUUGAAACGUGAGCGCUAGCUUACGUGGAGGCGCUGGUGGGAUACUACCCUAGCUGUGUUGGCUUUCUAACCCGCACCACUUAUCGUGGUGGGAGACAGUGUCAGGCGGGCAGUUUGACUGGGGCGGUCGCCUCCUAAAAGGUAACGGAGGCGCUCAAAGGUUCCCUCAGAAUGGUUGGAAAUCAUUCAUAGAGUGUAAAGGCAUAAGGGAGCUUGACUGCGAGACCUACAAGUCGAGCAGGGUCGAAAGACGGACUUAGUGAUCCGGUGGUUCCGCAUGGAAGGGCCAUCGCUCAACGGAUAAAAGCUACCCCGGGGAUAACAGGCUUAUCUCCCCCAAGAGUUCACAUCGACGGGGAGGUUUGGCACCUCGAUGUCGGCUCAUCGCAUCCUGGGGCUGUAGUCGGUCCCAAGGGUUGGGCUGUUCGCCCAUUAAAGCGGUACGCGAGCUGGGUUCAGAACGUCGUGAGACAGUUCGGUCCCUAUCCGUCGUGGGCGUAGGAAAUUUGAGAGGAGCUGUCCUUAGUACGAGAGGACCGGGAUGGACAUACCUCUGGUGUACCAGUUGUCGUGCCAACGGCAUAGCUGGGUAGCUAUGUGUGGACGGGAUAAGUGCUGAAAGCAUCUAAGCAUGAAGCCCCCCUCAAGAUGAGAUUUCCCAACUUCGGUUAUAAGAUCCCUCAAAGAUGAUGAGGUUAAUAGGUUCGAGGUGGAAGCAUGGUGACAUGUGGAGCUGACGAAUACUAAUCGAUCGAAGACUUAAUCAA